UACAGAGACUGCAAGCGUUAUUCGGAUUCACUGGGCGUAAAGGGUGCGCAGGCGGCCGUGUGUGUGAGGCGUGAAAGCCCGGGGCUUAACUCCGAAACUGCAUUCGAUACUGCCGUGCUUGAGGACUGGAGAGGAGACUGGAAUUUACGGUGUAGCGGUGAAAUGCGUAGAUAUCGUAAGGAAGACCAGUGGCGAAGGCGGGUCUCUGGGACGGUACUGACGCUGAGACGCGAAAGCGUGGGGAGCGAACAGG
rnacentral:rRNA from 1 species